rnacentral:tmRNA from 1 species
GGGGAUGAUCGGCCUAGACAAGUAGAGCCGUCGGCGUGAUGCGCCGGAGAGCCGAAGUGACUCUUAAAUCCGCUUCAAACACAAACGCAAAAUCAACUUUUGCAUUCGUCUCCCCGUUUCAUACGGCUGACGAAUUCCAGUUCGCUUACGCUCGAGCUUAAACUCGCGUAGCGGUUGGCGCAGACCUGCAAGAUGCCUUGGGUAGCAGAAUCUGUGUAAUCACAUAAGGCUAUGUCCCGACGCCUCCUCGAGUCGGGACGAAACAUCGAGGAUAGAGUUCUGAAAGUUUUCGUUUGCUUUAUAUUUCAGUUCUCGAAUCAAAUGAAGCACUCUACCCAGCGUAGACUUCACGACGAUCUCAACUUGCACGGCGGUUCGAUUCCGCCCAUCUCCACAA